AGUAAAAGUCGUAACAAGGUUUUGUUAAACAAGAUCCUUCUUGGAAGCCUCCCCACGCAACGACUCUAACUAUGCGUGUAGUCUAGAAAUAGGCAACGUCGUCCCUAUGCUGGAAUACUACAGUGGUAGUCUACCAGCAGCCAGGCAUCCCUGGUCCACAGAUUAGGUGGUGGCGGUCCGAGCUCUCACGCUGGAUUAAGAUAUAAUCGGUCUCCAUUGUCGGCAAUUUGGCAGAACAAACGUUCCGUAGGUGAACCUGCGGAAGGAUCAUUACCGAGUUAGGGUCCCCUGGGCCCCAUCUCCAACCCUUGUCUAUCCUACCAUGUUGCUUUGGCGGGCCCGUCUCUAACCGGACCGUUGGGGAUCUCGAUCCCUGACCCGCGCCCGCCAAUAGCCCCCAAAAAAUCUGUAAACAGUGAUGUCUAAGUGUCCAAAAAAUUAACUUAAAAACUUUCAACAACGGAUCUCUUGGUUCUGGCAUCGAUGAAGAACGCAGCGAAAUGCGAUAAGUAAUGCGAAUUGCAGAAUUCCGUGAGUCAUCGAAUCUUUGAACGCACAUUGCGCCCUUUGGUAUUCCGAAGGGCAUGCCUGUUCGAGCGUCAUUAUCAACCCUCAAGCUCGGCUUGUUGUUGGGUCUCGUUGGGAUAAACUUCAACGAACCUCAAAGAGAAUGGCAGAGCCCGCGUGGACCCUGGAUGCAGCGAGCUCUUCAGCACGCGUCACAGCGAUUCUCCGGCUCGGCCUUGACCAAAUUUUUUCUGGUUGACCUCGGAUCAGUAGGGAUACCCGCUGAACUUAAGCAUAUCA
rnacentral:rRNA from 1 species